rnacentral:tRNA from 1 species
GGCAAUCUGAUGAAGUUGGGAUUUAUACCUCAUAAGCCGGAGGUCGGGGAUUCGAGUUCCCCUCUUGCUACCA